rnacentral:lncRNA from 1 species
AAGAAGCAUCACCCAGCAUGGUGGAAGGGAUCAGUGUCUGGAGACAAAAACAGGGCUCAGGAAAAUCAGGAGGCAUGGUGGGGAUUGCUGUGGGCGAGAGAGGGGGAGAGGAUCUACAAAGGGCCCUGUGACCACCUGAGGACUUUUCCUCUGCAUGAGGGGAGCCACAGCCAGGUUCAGAGCAGGAGGAUUGGCCCUAAGUGCUAUGAAGUGGUUUAAGAAGAAAGCAUUUCCUUGUGAGAGAUUCACGAAUUUAGAACUGAGGGAAGGAAGAUACAUGGACUUGUGCCUGGAGACAGUGUUAUGCUUCUUCAGCAUGACCCAUCACCCUUCAGGCAGGACAUAG